CACUAGGUGACUGAAAGCAAGUAAUGGUCUCUUAAACCAAAUAAUWGUAAAAUAGUGCCUACUCCUAGUGA
rnacentral:tRNA from 1 species